GAUGAACGCUGGCGGCGUGCCUAAUACAUGCAAGUCGAGCGAACCGGGGAUGGGUGAUUCAUACGUGUAUAACUUUCUAUAAGAAUGGGAUCACUUCAGGAAACCGGAGCUAGACCGGACACUUAUUGAUGUUACCUCGCUGCAUUAGUGAGUGGGUAAGGUAACGGCUUACCAAGGCAACUAUGCAUAGCCGACCAGAGAGGGUGAUCGGACACACUGGAACUGAGAAACGGUCCAGACGCCUACGGGAGGCAGCAGGAGGGAAGCUGCCUCAAUGGGCGAAAGCCUGACGGAGCAACGCCGCGUGAGUGAUGAAGGUCUUCGGAUCGUAAAACUCUGUUAUUAGGGAAGCGGUACCUAAUCAGAAAGCCACGGCUAACUACGUGCCAGCAGCCGCGGUAAUAC
rnacentral:rRNA from 1 species